UCCCUUGUGUCUCAGCUGGUAGAGAAUCUGCCUGCAGUGUGGAAGAUCUGGGUUCGAUCCCUGGGUUGGGAA
rnacentral:tRNA from 1 species